AAGUCGUAACAAGGUUUCCGUAGGUGAACCUGCGGAAGGAUCAUUAGUGAUUGCCAUCUUGGCUUAAACUAUAUCCAUCUACACCUGUGAACCGUUUGAUUGAAUCUUCUGAUUCAAUUUUACAAACAUUGUGUAAUGAACGUCAUUAGAUCAUAACAAAUAAAAACUUUUAACAACGGAUCUCUUGGCUCUCGCAUCGAUGAAGAACGCAGCGAAAUGCGAUAAGUAAUGUGAAUUGCAGAAUUCAGUGAAUCAUCGAAUCUUUGAACGCAACUUGCGCUCUCUGGUAUUCCGGAGAGCAUGCCUGUUUGAGUGUCAUGAAAUCUCAACCAUUAGGGUUUCUUAAUGGCUUGGAUUUGGAGGUUGCCAUUCUAAAUGGCUCCUCUUAAAGGAGUUAGCAAGUUUUACUAUUGCUAUCUGGCGUAAUAAGUUUCGCUGGAAUGGUAUUGUGAAGCGUGCUUCUAAUCGUCUUCGGACAAUUACUUUGACUCUGGCCUCAAAUCAGGUAGGACUACCCGCUGAACUUAA
rnacentral:rRNA from 1 species